rnacentral:rRNA from 1 species
AGAGUUUGAUCCUGGCUCAGGAUGAACGCUGGCGGCGUGCCUAACACAUGCAAGUCGAGCGAUUUACUUCGGUAAAGAGCGGCGGACGGGUGAGUAACGCGUGGGUAACCUGCCCUGUACACACGGAUAACAUACCGAAAGGUAUGCUAAUACGAGAUAAAAUACUUUUAUCGCAUGGUAGAAGUAUCAAAGCUUUUGCGGUACAGGAUGGACCCGCGUCUGAUUAGCUAGUUGGUAAGGUAACGGCUUACCAAGGCGACGAUCAGUAGCCGACCUGAGAGGGUGAUCGGCCACAUUGGAACUGAGACACGGUCCAAACUCCUACGGGAGGCAGCAGUGGGGAAUAUUGCACAAUGGGCGAAAGCCUGAUGCAGCAACGCCGCGUGAGCGAUGUAGGCCUUCGGGUCGUAAAGCUCUGUCCUCAAGGAAGAUAAUGACGGUACUUGAGGAGGAAGCCCCGGCUAACUACGUGCCAGCAGCCGCGGUAAUACGUAGGGGGCGAGCGUUGUCCGGAAUCACUGGGCGUAAAGGGCGCGUAGGCGGUUUAAUAAGUCAGUGGUGAAAACUGAGGGCUCAACCCUCAGCCUGCCACUGAUACUGUUAGACUUGAGUAUGGAAGAGGAGAAUGGAAUUCCUAGUGUAGCGGUGAAAUGCGUAGAUAUUAGGAGGAACACCAGUGGCGAAGGCGAUUCUCUGGGCCAAGACUGACGCUGAGGCGCGAAAGCGUGGGGAGCAAACAGGAUUAGAUACCCUGGUAGUCCACGCCGUAAACGAUGGAUACUAGGUGUUAGUAGUUUCGAUGCUACUAGUGCCGGAGUAAACACAAUAAGUAUCCCGCCUGGGGAGUACGGUCGCAAGACUGAAACUCAAAGGAAUUGACGGGGGCCCGCACAAGCGGUGGAGCAUGUGGUUUAAUUCGACGCAACGCGAAGAACCUUACCAGGUCUUGACAUCUUCUGACAAUCCUAGAGAUAGGACUUUCCCUUCGGGGACAGAAUGACAGGUGGUGCAUGGUUGUCGUCAGCUCGUGUCGUGAGAUGUUGGGUUAAGUCCCGCAACGAGCGCAACCCUUAUUGUUAGUUGCCAGCAUUAAGUUGGGCACUCUAGCAAGACUGCCGGUGACAAACCGGAGGAAGGUGGGGAUGACGUCAAAUCAUCAUGCCCCUUAUGACCUGGGCUACACACGUGCUACAAUGGACGGUACAACGAGUCGCAAGACCGCGAGGUUUAGCAAAUCUCUUAAAGCCGUUCUCAGUUCGGAUUGUAGGCUGCAACUCGCCUACAUGAAGUCGGAAUCGCUAGUAAUCGCGGAUCAGCAUGCCGCGGUGAAUACGUUCCCGGGCCUUGCACACACCGCCCGUCA